GUCUGCUCGGGCAACUUGAACAAAAGGAGAAACUCGGGUGAACUCCGCAUCUCUCCCGGAUUAGCUCAUCUUCGGCAACUUUAUCCGGAGAGAUCGAGGCAACUUUCUCCCAUCUCUCCCGCCUCUUCAAAGCGGUCAGCCUCGCUGUAGGCUCGUGAGGAAACCGGGGUUCGCAGUGUAAAGAAAGCAGAAGGUCAAAACAUGGCUGUCCAAAGAAUGGGAUGCUUGCCAAAACAUCAAUCUGUGCUGAGUGCCAUACUCAUUAUCCUUCCAGUGGUGGAUUACAACUCGGGUCUCCUCAGGAGGUGACUGAUGUGGAACAAACUGUACGACUGUCUUUGCUGUUUGGAUACGUGUGUAAGUUAACGGGCUACUGGGAGAAGAUGAAGAGGCUUUUGCAGAAAAAUGAGGAUAUCAUGGGAAGUGCUGCUGCUAACCAUUUGGAUUAUAUUGCUGUCUGACACAGAAGUUCUGCAGAUUACGUAAGGAUGCGGUCAGUGCCUGCGUUUGGCUUGCCCUUACACAGAAGAGUGUCUCUGAGACUUGGAGUUCAGAUGAAGGGAAGAAAGCAGCAGGAACUCUCCAGAUCUUUUUUGUUAUGUGAUUGCUGAAGCAUUUUCCUGGCACAGCAGUAAUGAUUGAUGAACACACUUCAGACUAGGAGCCACAGAGCAGUGAGGAUUUAUGCAUCUGGAAUAGAACUAUGAAUGGGAUUGCAGGAUUUACAUGGAGGACUCUGAAAUCCCUCACUUCCUGCUCCAGGAAGGGGGCCUGCUUUGUGACCUGGGGUACAAUCUAUGUCUGCUACUGAAGCUAUCUUGACUGGCAUGAGAAAUGUAAGAAUUUUGAAGAAACUUGGCCUGACAAAUAUCUGUUUGCACAUUUGGAUUUAUGAAAACUUCUGAUCUCUCUGUGUCAUGGUCCCCUUCUGUAACAUAACAGGGCUGUCCGCAUAUACAGAGGUGCAGCACAGCCCCUGGCUCUCAAUACAACCUUCAGAUGAAGGAGGAAAAAUAACAGUUCCAGGCAUUGUAAAAGAGGACCUUCUUCUCUGAUGAGGACAUUGCUGAGUUUAACUAGCAGAAGGUAGUAUCUUUACAUCACUACAUGAUGCAGAUGGAUCACUCUUUGCCAGCUGCCAAAUCAAAUAUUGCUGUACAGUCUCUACCUUCAGCAACAUCCUCAGUGUUCUGGUGGUGGGUCCCUUGAAAGGAUAGGGCAGAACAGACUUCAUGCCACCCCUGUACUUCAAGCUCUCUGCUCUGUGGAGGUUACUUUGUCGUACACAGAGCUAAAGAGUGUUUGUGUUUAUGGAAGGAAUUCCUCUGCGCUAAAUCUGGAAGGUUGGUCUUCAUUAGCAAUGAGGAAGGCAUGAAGCUGCACUGUUCAGAAGAAGCAAGAUUCUUUCCUCACAGCUACGGCACUGCGACACAGCCUGCUUUUUCGCAUUUACCUGGGUGGCUGCUGCUGGUUCUGCUGCUGCUGCUGCAGCCUCGCUGCCUGCGCUUCACCCCAGCUUGGCUGAUGCGAGCCUCCCUCGUCUGCACAUUGCUAAGGAAGAGAAGCGAUGGAGCCGCAAUUUUUUUGUUGGUUCUGGAAGCAAAGGGUUGUGAUGUGGGGUUGUUUGGGGGUUUUCUUUUUUUUUUUUUUUUUUUGGUGGGGAGAGAAAGGAGGGAUGUUAAUCUAGGGUGGAGUGGGUAAAAGCUUAAAGAAAUAUGAUGAAAAGUAAUCCAGUGCUCAACAAGGGCAUCAGCAGCAAGAAUCCAGCCUCUGCUGCUCCAGAGGAUUAAGAUGGGGAAAGCCACAGAACUGCAGUCGAGUUGCACCUCAGCGUUGUUCUGGAGAUGGAUAAACAAGGUAUUGGUCGUAUCUGCCUGCUAAGGCAAAGACACGGGAGGAAGAGCGAGCGAGAGAGUGCGUGCAAAUGCAGUGGAAGAAGGAACGCUGCGUGCUGUUUGUCUGAUUCUGUGCAUUCUCAGUGUGGAGAGGAUGGUGUGAUUAAGAAAACAAUGUAUGGAUAGAGGCACUAUGAAUUGUAGCUCGAACACUCCUGAUGCUGUCAGGGAGGGAACUGAUGAGCUAGGUGGCUGCAGCAGUAUCCCCAGGGAAAACAGCGGCCAUGCUGUGUAUGUAUGUGCUUAUGUAUGUGUGUGUGCUUAUGCGUGUGGGAGCAUGUACAGACAUGAAAGAAAGACAUUUCUGACCAAUUUACAGAGGAAGCUUGUCACUUUGAUGGUCAGCCUUGAUUGCAGCUUGUAUUUUCAGCUCUAGCUCUACACCCAAUUUCUGAGUGAGGCAGCACUUUGCGAAUGCAGAUGUAGGCAGGAUUCUUCUAAGAAAUAUGAAAGCAGAUCCUUUCUGUUUAACACCUUGGAGCACUGAAUUUUCUGCACUGUGUUGAGAGAAGCUAAGGGGGAGGGGAUCAUUUUCUCCAUCUUACAAUCUUUAUGAACACAGCUAUAUUCAGUACGGCAAAAAAAUUCUAUGUUCUAAAUAGAAAUGUGAUCAAUCUAAUCAAAAUAAAUGCAUCCCAGAUGACUUCUAGACCAGCUGGCUACCACAGUCAUCAGAUGGCUAAAUGCUCAACUGAGCAUUUAUAGUCAGGAUUAUAUUUCUUUUUUCUUUCUUUCUUUCUUUUUUUUUUUUUUUUUUUUAGAAUUUUAAAAUCAGCCUCUAAUUAAAAAAUGAUUAUUCCUCUAUUAAAAGAGACAGCAGCUAGCAGCAGAUUUUUCUGAAAUGUACCUGUUUGGUUUUCUUUUUGUUUUUUGUCAUUGUCAUCUGAUUGGCUUGGGCUCUUUUUGUUUAUCUGUUUGGUUUAUAUUUCUGCGCAUGCAUUGAGGAGUCCAUGCUUUUAGAACAGGGAGACUUGUCACAGUGCUUGGCAUACUGAGUUCAGCUGGCAGCUCAGGUUGCCCAUAGCUGAACAAUGCAAAAAUAGGGAAAACAAGUACUGCAGUCAGCUAGUGGGGUUUGGCAUGGCUUUUAGCAGCUGCCUACUGAGAAAGAGGUUUCUUUUUUCUAUUCUUUUUUUUUUUUCCCCUUUUAUACAAAUCCGUAGACCAUAAUGUCAUCCUAAAAUGCGUACGGGGGGAUUUCCCAAUAGUCAUGGUGGGCUACCCUGCAAGAUGCCUGUCUGGCCCUUCCACUGUUUGUUACCCUGUCUACAAAGGCUGCCCUGUGUGUUGGAUUAUAUUUAGCCAGCUGCUGGGUAACAUUCUUGUGCUGGGGGCAGAGGAGUCUUAUUACUCCCAUACUGUAGUUUUGUGUUUUCUUAAAGAAAAAUAACCUUGGCAAUACAGCAGGCUCUGAAAAGAAGUGUAUACCACUCCUGCACCUUUCUGAAACUGCUGUGCUUCUAACUCAGGCUGUUUUAAAGCGAGCGAGCAGGAGGAAGAGUGGCUCUUAGCUCAUAGCUUCAAAGCUGCAAAAUGUCAGCAGCUUGUAAUUAGGAACCCGUGGUUACGUCAGGGACUGUAUCUCUCCAAGAAUAGCUGUGUGAUGUGUGCCACAAAGCAAAGGAAGGCAGUCAUAACCUGGUUCUCGAGCCUGCUUUGAACAACAGAGCGAAAUGGAUUAAUGAAUCAGCUGCAUUCGUAAAUCAGAGCUGGAUGGCUUACACGUAUGAGACUGGCUGCACUCUGCAAAAGUGAAGACUGAAUUAUCGGUUUGUCAGAGGGCACACGUUCACCGAGUGGAAGUGUGAAUCCUUCGGAAGAAAUGCAGACAAGCCAUCUGUCCUAGGAAAUGUCAUUCCCGUCUCCAUCUUGCACAGGCAGCUGCGUGCCACGAGGCAUAGGAGGGAGCGACUGGCCAGCCGCACCAAGGUGUUUAAAAGCACGCAUAAAAUUAAACACAAAGAGCCAGCACACCAAAACUCAGCUCUGGCGUUGCAGAUUUGAUGCUGAAAUACCACCCCAGUGCAGACCUACUGCGCUCAGGUGUGGUUUCUAUUAAGGCUUCUCUGGUUAAGGGAUGGUGCAAAAAAAGCCUUAGCGCAACAUCUUGCAGCCAAACGUGGUCCUGGGGGUGCAUUGGGAAUGCUGCGGCGCUGGGCUGCCUACUCCACAGGGACAUGGCUGGAGCUUUCUGAUCCCUGCUGUUGUUUUUCGGUCUGGGCUGGCUGCUCCACAGCACUUAAGCGGUGAGAUUGCAGGGGUGCUUACCCUGCUCUGACCGGCCUUUCCCCGUGCUGUGGCUGGAGAUGUUUACAUGGCUUUUAUCGACAGCCCUUCACCAGUCAGUGUGCAUUGCUGCCUGUUUUUGGCAGCCUGGUGUGGUUCCCUGCUCGCAGUGCAAGUCAGCUGCAGUUCUGCUCUUUGUGCUGCUCUUUAAUUUACCAGGAUAGGUAGAUUGUAUUAUGCAAACAGUGGUUGUGGGUUCUGUUUUUUUUUUUUUUUUUUUUUUUUUUCCCCUGACCGUGAACACAAAUUUGUAGGAGGAGAUGACUCUGUAUAUUAAACCAAUAGCUCUUUGAAUUGUGUGUAGUAUAAUUUAAAUAUACUUACUUUAAUUAGUAGGAGCUUACAAAAGCCGGCAUUGUCUGGGGCUGUUUAAUUUACAUCGCGGCCUCUGUCAAUGAGUGCAACCUGCCUGAACAGAAUGGCGUAUUCUGCACAGCCGGCAGGGUGGAAGGCGUUACUUUGUUUGUGUUCCUUCCAACAGCUGGUCAUUAAUGCAGGCCCCAUCUCCAGAGUGAAGUGCCGGUGGACAUGAAUGGCCGCCUGAUUAAUGCUGCCCCUCGACGGCUCCUUCUUCCAGCAGUGAUGCUCGCAGCAGAAUAAUGCAGCGUGAUUUGAUUGCGCUCUAACAGGGCAGUAUGUCAUUGUGUCACCAAGCAAUUGAGGUUAUUAUGGGGCAGGGCAGACAGACGGGACAGUGGGGUUACUAGACCGUGGCAUUUUUAGAAAUGCAGGCCUGACCUACUUAGAGUUAUUCUUGCUGGCUGGCAGCUGCAUGGUGCAUGGCUUGUCCUGAUAGGCUGAGGCUGUUGCUAGGGGGAAUUAGCAUGAAUUUUUCCACAUACAGACUCAGUGAUUGAAUGAUAAAAGCUGACUGGAAUUAAAGAGAUUCGGUUCAGUAUUAUGCAGAUUUAUCUCCCUUGUUUUUUCCUCUCUCAAAUGCAUAAAAAAGGAGCAGAAGACAGUUUGUUUCCAUUCAUUUUUGACCUAUUUUUUUUCCAGAGGAGGGCAGAAGCACUGUGAAUUUUUGAUCAUUUACUAUUUAAGUCGCUGAAAUGAUAUGACAGUGGGCAUGCAUCUUUAAUGUAUAGGAGAUUCAAAUUCCUUCUCUGCAGAAGGGAAUGAAAUGAAUAUAGUUUAUACACUGAUCAGACCAUCGCCUUUAUUUAUUUAUUUAUUUAUUCUCUAUUUGAAACUAUGUCAGAUUCUCUCAUCUGGAAAGGGAAAACGUACACCAGGUUUUAUUGCAUAACUUCACUCUUGGCUAUUUUUAGCUAUCUGCACUUUACAAAAUUAGUCCUGUUUGUGUGGCUGGAUGAAAUGAAUCCCCAGACUGUGCCUCCUGUAUGCAGAUACACGCACCCAGGAUAUGCUGUAGUGUGCCGUGUUCAUCUGAAAAGAUGCGCACACACUGCAGACAUAGCAGCUCUGCCUGUUGGCGGAGAGCUGACGACUGGCCUUUAAGCUGAUUGAUUAGAUAACCUCUUGUGCAUUUUGAAGUAUUUUUCCGGCUUCAGUUUGAAGUUUGAUUCUCUUGAUAGCACUUUUUUAUUUAUCUACAUCUGCUUAAAACAGUCAUGUUUUUUCAGAGAAUUAUGUGUUCCCUCUGGAAGUAAGUAAAAACAAUACUCAGUGAAGACUUCUUUGAUGUAAUUAUGGAUAUUUCCUUUGUUAUUAUCACUAAUUAUAAGAUAUCUUCCUCCAAACCGCAGUACCCCCUGUGUGAUCCUUUACCAUGCAAAAGGAGUUACAAUUUAGUGCUUAUGAUUUUAAAAGGGUUUUCAUGGCAACACCUCCUGACAUCACACUCAAAGAAUUGUGACUUUCCAGCAUCUGGGAAUGAGGGAGAGGGACUCUGAAGUCUUUGUAUUUGCCAAAUGAGUGUGUGACUCAUUGCUGAAAAGUGUGAGCUCAUUUGAGUUUCAUGUGAAAUACCUGGAUGAAUGAGACACUUCUCAGAGCAGCAUCUGUCAGGAUGGCCAGAAUUACCCCUGGAGUUUCCUGGCCCCCUGCCUCAGCUCAUGAAGUUUCUCUGGAGGGUUUGAAGGUGAAUCAGUUAAACAUGGAGACAUACAUCUGAGUGCAUUUUGUAGUCUAGGCAAAAGCAUUUGAUUUGUACAGAUUUGAAUUUUCUGUGUCUCUUUACCUGUUGGUCAUUUACUACUGAAGCACAUAGCUCUUCCCUGUCUCUUUCUUCCAGACAGCUUUGUGGAUUGACAGACUUGUGAAGGCAUGAAAGUGAAGAGAGGCUUUAUUGGAAACCCAGAGGUUUCUCCUUCUGGCUGUGUUCUCACCAUCUGUCCAGAUGUAACUCCAGCAAGUGUAACUGUGAUGCAGGUCCCACUUCCCACAGCAGGAAACCACUCCUCCCAGUAUUCUCUUGAUCAAAGCCCUAUUUCUUGAUCUGCUUUCUUGUGGGAUGCUGUUAGUGGCUUUGGCUUUGCACCUGGGCUACCAUUUUCACUUUGGCAUGUCUUCCAAACCUUCUUGAUGUUGUGUUUUCUGCUGUUUCCCCUCAUGCUCCCACUUGCAUUCCAUGUGAUAAACCUGUUUUAGUGAUGAGAGAGAAGGAUCAGGUCGCGGAGAGGUUUACUUUUGGGAGGGUAGGCAAUGGCCAGGCUUUGUUUGGAAUUGUAUUUUAAAGUUCUCACCCUCAUUGAAUGUAGCCAGUCAUAGUUUCACCCAGUUGACUUGCAACAUCAGCUAACUUGGACAUCAGCAAAUCAAAACUACCGUACCAUAUUACAUUAAUUUCAGUGGAAACAUAUUUUUUAGAAAAAUCAUAAUCAUGGAAUCAUAGAAUCACUCAGGUUGAGAAAGACCUUAAAGAUCAUCGAGUCCAACCAUGACCUAACCAUACUACCCUAACAACCCUCUGCUAAAUCAUGUCCCUGAGAACCACAUCCAAACGAUUUUUAAACACAUCCAGGAAUGGUGACUCAACCACCUCCCUGGGGAGCCUAUUCCAGUGCUUAACAACCCUUUCAGUAAAGUUUUUCCUGAUAUCCAACCUAAACUUACCCUGGUGCAACUUAAGGCCAUUUCCCCUCUUCCUGUCACCUGUCACCAGUGAGAAGAGACCAACCCCGCUCUCUCUGUAGGCACCUUUCAGAUAUUGGAAGAGAGGUCUCCCCCCAGCCUUUUUUUCCCCAGACUAAACAGCCCCAGUUCCUUCAGUCUCUCCUCACAGGGCAUAUUCUCCAAGCCCUUCACAAGCCUUGUUGUCCUUCUUUGGACCUGCUCCAGCACCUCCAUGUCCUUUCUGUACUGAGUUGUAAUGAGUUGAGUAUCAUCUUAUUUUGGCAUAUUCAUGCUAAGAGCGAGCCCAGAGGAAGGCAAGAAACAAUAUUAAGCAUAUAGUCUAUGGAAAAGAAUUAUAUCCCUGAUAUUUGUUUGGGAUUUCAGUACAGUGAACGUUUAUAACAGACAUCAAGUCAGUCAGUUUUAACAAACUGUCAAGUGACAUAUUAAAUAUGAAAAAUGCAGUGCACCAGAAAUUGUACUCAACAUUAGGUUACUAUUCUGCAAGUCACUUUAAAGGAAAUUACCUCAAAUAAAUUAAUGUGUGAAUUGUCUGAUCAUAAUGCCUGGGAUAAUUAUAAGUAGCAGAAAUGUGGAGUUAAUGAAACAGAAACAAAAUCUAGCUCUUUCUAUGUAUGUGUUUAUAAAGCAUAAGAAUCAGGGCACCAGAAGAGUUUGAAAUAUAUGUCUGUUGAAAAUACAGUCAGUUGUGUACAUUCCUUCAAAAAGCAUGUUAAGAAUUUUCUGAUUGUCUCCUCUGAGGUUUCUAUUGUUGUAACAACUCACACCUCCCACCCAGAAGUUGCUUACCUACAAAAGAUUGUGUUGCAUUGUUCAGCAUUUUUGUACCAUGACCUCUCCUGUGAGCUGUGAAAGAUCUAUUGUGCUGUUUCAUUCUCUAGGGUGGCUAAGCGAGUGCUGAUUUACAAGUAGCAUAUGCAGACAAUUUUUUCUUCCAAUCAAGGAUCCAAAAUCCUACCACUAUUUGAGUUGGCUGUGGUGGUCAGUGUAUUCCUCACCCAGGAGUCUUGGCUGGUUGUGCACUUUGUGCAUUUUGUGAUGUCAUUCAGCUUUCUGGUUUUCUGAAAAGGAGCAGAGGAUGCAGGAUAUAGAAUGGCACAUCUAGAUUCCCAUGAAGGGAUAAUGGCAGCAAGGAGUGAGCUCACUUCCAGACUUUACCUCCUGCCAGGACCUUUAAGAUCAGUUUUUUCUGCAGCAAAUUUGUUUUGGUUCCAAUUUCAAACCCAAAGUAGGAGGAAGUGUAUUAUAUUUCUUAAAAAGUGGCAGUUGACGCAUUCCUUCUACUGCAGUACAGGAGGGAAUACAAAUGUUUUACAAAUUAAAAUAAUCCUUACAGUAUUUUUUUUCCUGUGAUCCACUAAGAUGGAAACUAAUUCUGUAACAUUACCUUCAGCCAGGAGCAGCAUUACUGUGGCUCCCACAUUCAUAUUUUUCCUGCAUGUGUGCGCCUAUAUACUCGGAAAUACUGUACACACAUUGUGUGUAUAGUAUAUAUACAAAAGACACAGUAUAUAUAUACUAUACAUAGUAUAGUAUAUAUAUAAAAGACACAGACAAUUUACACAAGUGCAGUAUUGGAGCAUACAUUAUAAUGUGUAAUCACAGUUACCUCAGAUUAAUACCAGAACUGUGCUUCCAAGUGUUCAGUGCUGGCUUGUUUAUGGUGAAAGCAUCUUGACAUACAAUUCGUGCCAUUUCAACACAGAGCAUAACCAUCACAUUAAUCCUGUCAUCCCAUUCACCACCACCACCGACAAAUGAUGCUGUGUAAUAGAAAGAUAACAAAAAGGGGACAUUAUGGUUAAAAGUAGUGUAUAAUUAGAUAGGUGGAUUUCAUAACCACUUUUCAUUUUUUGUAGUCACAAGUGAUGUAAAAUGAAAUGCUUGAUAGCUGUUUAAGACAGAGAGACAAUUUUUUUCUUAUUGUUAAUUCUUCCCUACUGCUCUUAGGUCACACCUGUUUCAAAAGUGAGUCCAGACUUAAAUCUUGACAGAGAUCAUGACCUUACUUCAACCAAUGGCUGUUUUAUCCUGGCACUCACUGGGACCAGGUAUCAGGUCUACGUAUUUUCAGCUGAACAUGUCUUUGUCUCUCUUCUCACUCCAGAGUGUAGUAUUUCUAUUUCUGAGUUUUCAUUCCUCUUUUCCUCUGAACAUUCUUUGAAUGCUUGAAUCUUUAAGCAAUAAAUUUGCCCUUGAGUAUUAGAAAAUACGAGGAAGUAACGCUUUCCUACUGAGUAGAUAAGGUUGAGUUGGGGUUAGUCUCCAUAACUUUGUGUUUUCAUAUACUUCUGUUUUCAUCAUAAAAUAUCUUUUGUUUUGAUAAAAUGAAACAGCAAGUGAAACAAAACAAAACAAACAAAAAAAGAAUGAGUCCAGUCUGUAACAGUCUGUGGAAACUCAGGGAAUAAGGUGGUUAUGUUUUGACCUACAAAGAUAGGGCCCAGAAGUGCAGAGGCAGAAAAAAAGCAGUCUUUAAAAGGAAAUGCUUUCUAGCUCUUUAAUGACUUAUUCUGUUAUCAUCACUGAAGUUAACAAUGGAUUCCUUCCUUUAAAAACAAAAACAAACAAACAAAAAAAAACUUUGAUGUUACGUAAAUAAAAUGCUCACAUCCACAUCCAACAAAAAUAUUAAUUUGGAGGUAGGUAUGCCACAGUUGUGUCUAGAGUUUGCUGUGUUUUUGUUGUAAGCCUGACAGACACAGUAAUUAGGCCUUUCCGAGGUAAAAAAUGUUUGGAUACCUCUAAGUUGAAAGCAUUUGAAAAAAUGGAAGCCAGUAGAUGACUGUUGGUAAUAGAUUUUUUUCCUAUGUUAUGCUACUUGGAGAACCCAGGCUGAACAUAGGAGGAGACACUGUGCUGCAAACUUGGUUUGGUGAUGGUUGAAACACGGCUGAUGAAUCUUUGGGUAAAUCUCCUGUUCAUGAACUCUAAUAAUGGCAAUAUAUUAUGGAUCUCACUUACAGUUCCUGCAUGCAAGUGCAAGAAUACAUACACACCAUCUUAGCUGAACUGAAUUGUUAGUGAAGCCAUCUCCAGCGGUGCUAUUCUUUUCUUAUUACUCUUUUGAAACUCAAACCUGCAGUUGUUUAUAACUCACUGAUGAGACUACAAGUUCAUUGUCUCUCCCAAGACUGGUAAGGUUGUAUCCCUUUCCCUCUAGCUUUGGCUUAACUCCACUCAUGUAAACUUUAUGUACCCAUCCUUUUUGUGUGGGAGCAGAAAUUUUGGUGCAUAUCAAUGCCUUAUUUGCUCCGCUAUAGUCACGUGUUUGCAGCAAGUAUUUUCUGUAAACAGACAGUGAAUAGCGCACUUGUCUUGCAGUUGGUCUUGUCUUGGAUUUCUUGGCAUUACACUCACUAUUCCUAAUAUUUUUGUGGUAUUGGAGAGACACUUGUAAAUAUCAAAUAAAUAAGUAGCCUCCCAUGGUGUCUCUUUUUGUAGUGUCAGUUUGUAUUUAGUAUGUUAGCUGAAUAUGAGAACAAAAUGGAAGAUACGAAUACUAAGCACUGCCUUCCAAAAUACUUUCCCCUGUUUUAUGAGAGUAAUCUCAUUUAUUUUAGAAGAAACAAGUAAAUGGCAUACCAAGGGGCCCAAUCAGGCAAGUGAUAUUUGAUUUCACAAAGCAGAUUCUCAUGUUAUGACGCAUUUGCAAGGAGCAGGAUGGAAUAAUAAUGCUGUGCAGAACAACUUGCUUGUGUGCUUUCAAAUAGAGUAGAUCAUCUGAAAGCCACGGGACCAAGCAAAAGCUGAGACUGGUGGACUGGUUGGAGAGCUGUGCAAACCAGGGCAUGACACCUGCUUGUCCAGUUCUCCAAAGGGAUUUUCCAAAGUUUCAAAUGUUGCCAGCAGUUGGUUGCCUUCUUUGCUCAAUCAUAUUUACAAUGUUUUCAGUUUGAUGGUGUUUGUAAGGAGAGGUAAUAUCCUUUAUUCAAACCACCUCUCUCCCUUGGCUUUUUGAUAGCCUUAGGCAGUCCUGGCUCCCUCAUGUUCUAUAAUUCUCUGAUAUUGUUGUUGACUCUAAUGGUGGUUAAGAGCAUGCAAAAUAGUCAGAAGCCCAACAGGAUUUUGAAUCGAUAGUGUUCCAUAGUUUAAGAUUUCUAUAUGGAUCAAACAUUUCUAAUACAUAGAAAGCUAGAGGAAAUCUCAGGCAGUGAAUUUCUGGCUGUACUCCUGUGUUGCUUAAUGAUGGAUACCAAUAAAUUCAGUUAUACUCUAGGCUUGUUGCAAUUGUUGGCUUGCAACACUGCCAAUCACACUGGGAGGAGACAAAACAGAAAAAACAGUGUUUUCUCAGGCAGAAAAAUCACUUUACUGAGUACGGUGUGGUGUUUUGUUUCACCCUUAAAGAGUCAGCUCAAAGAUCCCCUGUAUGUUUAUGAUGCAUACUAGUGUUCACUGGUAUUUAUUUUAAUACCUUGUAUUACCAAAACUUCUUUUGUGCCUUGAACUUCAUGCUGUAGGCUGAAAAGUGGACUUAUGCAGCCAGAACACUGAACACAAGCCUCCUGAAAAGUGUUUGUAUUUUAAGAUGGUACUCUUGCACACUUUGACGUACUAGCAGAUCUGAUAAGCUUUGGGAGAAAAUAGCAUAGUAUGGUGCUAUUACAUGAGGAACUGGUAUGCUAUUGAAGAGAAGUCAUUCCAUAAUGUGAUUUUUUAGAAACUAUUUUGGUGGCUGUGUUUGCUUAGAUGAAUGAAACAAACUUCAGUGAAACAAACUGAGCAUAGUCAUAAAUGCAAAUUCAGUAAUAAAUGUCCGUGUGGAACACAGACUUCCCACAAAAGCAUUUUAUUGUUUAAUUCACAGGGUGAAAGGAUACAUUUGUUUUCAAAUAUAGCUGUUAGUUGUAAAAGCUAUGGUUUGGGACAUAGAAGUUGUUCUUUUGGUGAAAAGUGUGUAAAAUCUUUCAUGCACAUUCAUUGUGUUUUAAGCCCCAAGGUCAGAAUUCAGAACCUGGCAAUUCCGAUAAGAAUGAGAAACUGAUGAUAGAAAUGAAAUGUAUUUUGGGGGCAGUUUUGCAGCCAUGUGCUUUAUUUUACAGAGCAAGUAUGCAAUUUUGCUUCAACAAACACAGGCAAAAGUCAUCAGAGCUUUUCUUUCUUCUCCCUUCCCCUCCCUUUUCUUUCCCCUUUUCUCUUUUUUUCCUUUCUUUCUUCUUUUUCCAGAAAUACCCAAAAUGGUUAUACCUGCAAGUAGCAUUCAAAAAAAGCUUCAUCCUCCCAGUGUCAAUGCACAACAUUCCUCUUUGCUCUUACACCCCCUUUACUUGCAUUUUCCUAGAUUAUCUUUCUCUAUUGGUCUACAAUCACAAACAGCAGUAACAGCAACAAACAACAAAAAACAACAAAGAAACAACAAAACACCCUCUGUUCAUCCGUUAGAUUCAGUUCUACACAGUCCCCAACAACUUGGACUGUCACUCCUUUUGCGUGCUAAUGUUUUAAACACCUGGUCGCCCUAGUUUUUGAGCCAUAAAGACUAAAUGCAUGUGCCGGCUUCCAUGAAGCCUGUGAUGGUUUCUUGAUUCUAGAUGAUACCCACACCUUCCUUAUACCUGUUAGAGUUUGCGUCAUAUCCAUGCACACACAUACCCAUUUUUUAGAAACGAUAGAGAGGCUUUUUGUCACUCCUUAAUCCUUUGUCAAAGGGUAGAAAAUGCAGUGUUUUUCUGUGUGAGCUGGGUGGACAUCAGAGACUCUUCUCUUUCUUUGGGUCCCACAGCCCUGCUUUGAAAUAUUUUUAAAGAGAUGAAUAGGGUGUAGUUGUAGCUUUAAAACGAUGAACUUUGCACAUCACUGCAAUAAAUGGUUCUCCUUUUUAUUCUGGGGUCCAAGUUGAGAUAAUACACAGAAGUAAAGAAAAAAAUCUGGAUGUCUUCUAAUUUAUUGUCUCCUGACUUUUUUUCCUCCCUUUAAUUUAUUUUUGGAGUCUGGGAAGAAAAGCAUGCCAGAAAGGCCCAGUGUAUUGAUGUGUGAAAUUGAAGUAGUUGAUGAUUCUUAUGAUCCAGACACCAUGCCCUUUGACGAGGUUAACAUAAAAAGAAACAUACUGGAAAACACACACUUAAAUAUGAAAAAUUCCUUAAAUUCAGGGUGUGUUCAUGCAAAGUGAAAUUUUUACAGUGUGGAAAGCAUUAAACCUGAUCCAGAAAAAACGUUAGGUGCCCUAGCCAUUGAGAUGUGAAUCUCUUUAAUCCACGCAAGCAUUAGAAAAAUCUGAAACAUGUGAAAGUUCAAAAGCUGCAAAGCCAUUACAUGACUCCUUAUUCAUUUCUCAAAUAUUGUGACUUUCUAUUGAACUGUGAAAAGGCUUCUUCUUGUAUUUUUUUUCCCUUUUCAUGAGCAAUAUAUCAGUCACUCACAAAUGCGUUAUUCCGCAUUGUGAAGCUGAAAGUGAGUUUCAUUUGGUUGUGUCUACUUGGGUAUAAAUCUUUGAUUUAUUUCUGAGCAUUUAUGUAGCAUUUCAGAAGUUGGUCACUUGCACCUUUUCAGCAUUUGCUGUUGGAGAAGGGGAAAAGGCAAGUAUUAGUGGAAUGUCAAUGUUGUUUUUCUUAAGAUCUCUUAGACUUUUUUUUUUUUUUUUUUUUAGUCUGUUUGCUCGAAUGCAGUACUUACGGAGAUAGAGUUGCUGAGAGGUAAGCUAGAGAUUGCUGUUACAGUGCAGUGUCUGAAAAAUGGCUCUUUAUAUAGGGCAACAACCUUAACGGAGAGCAGAAGGUUUCACACUGGUUUGUCACCUGAAAAUGGGACUUAUUUUUAUCAGUGAAACUCCUGUGAGAAGAUCAUGUAGUGCCAGAGAGCCAUUGGAGCUGUUGCUUUUUUUUAAAUGAUAGCAACUGCAGAAUCUGAUGGAGACUUCCCGAGUCCCUACCAUCCUCUUCCCCCCCCCCCCCCCCCCCCCCCCCCAAAAAAAGUCUUAAAAAGACAGAGAAGCCUGUUAUCUAUAUGAAAAUAGCUGUCAACCUGAAUUUCACUAACUUGCCAGAAGAUGUAUCAAACAGUGAAGGUAGUCAGCUAAUUUCUGGGUCUCCUGAGAAGACCACACUCUCAAGUGAUGGACUUCAUUUAGAGUUUGUAAUCUAAGGAAAAUAUAUGACUCAAACCUCUGCCAAGGCCCAAAGAGCUUAAAUGUAAAUAUGAGAUAAGGACUAGCAGUAGUCAUGCCAAGGAAUUGCAGCAAAACAAAGGCUUAUUGAUCAAAAAGGUCAUGGAAAAGAGGACAGGGCUUAAAGAAACUAGAUUUUUUUUCAUUUUUAUUUUUUUGAGUUGAAUGCAAAAAUAGUAACCCAAAGAUGGAGUUCUGUAUGGCAGGCAUCUGUCAAAUGCAUUCUUUUAUUUGUCUGCACAAAUAAAGUGAAUAUCUAUAAUUCUCUUGUUUCAUAGAAUGACUUCCAACCAUAGUCUCCAGAGUCUUGAAAUAGCAAAUGUGUCCCUCUGAUUAAAAUGGAGAAUGUGACAACAGAAAAUGCAGUACUGUGCCUGGGUCUUCCACUUGAUGCUGUUGGGCUUCUCAUGUCUUGUAGGGAUAUGUGUAAGGCUGCUCACAUAUUAUGGUAGGCAGUGACUACUGAUCUAUUACUGUGGUACGUAAACCUUCUCAAGGGUUUGAAAUAAAUACCUGCUGUUGACUUCAUUUCCUUGGUGAAGAAGGCUUUUUUUUCUUAUAUGUCUGGUGAAGGUUGUAUAGGAAAUGGUGCAAUACUUGCUAUCUAGGAUCCACAAGUUGUCAACCUUUCGUAUCAUGAAAAACAGAAAUAAAGGACAAAUUUCUAUUGCGAGACUGCUGGAAAAAGAUUGUAAAUCACAGAGAUCCUAGUUUCAUCGACUGACAACAAUCUGCUAAGUGAUGUUUGUGUUUUAGGGGCAAGCGGAAAAAGAACAUUCCCUGCGAAUGACAACUGCCCAUCUCAUAAUGUCAUAUUGCCAUUAUCUAUGAAUAAAGAAAAAGGCCCAUUAUGUUAUGUCUAACUAGAAAGAAACUUAACAAAGAAACACACUGUGCUGUUAAGGAGAGGAAGGAGAGCCUUGUGGUUAGGGCACAGGAGAUGUUGAUUCAAAUUUCUGGCUCUGCAAGAGCCUUCCUCUGUGACCUUGAGUGACUGGUGUACUGCUUCACUCUAAAUGGCAGCAGUACCCAAGCAGGAGAGAGAUGGGUGCUGAGAUGGGAAAAAGACCUCUUGAAAAACUGGCAUAAAAAUAGGAGCUACAUAGUUUGGAGUCUUCUUAUUUCUUUUUUUUUUUUUUUCCCCCUUUUUUUUUUUUUUAUUGUUGGGGUAAUGUUAAAUAUUAAUAAUUUAAUAUUAAUAAUAAUUAAUAAACCCAGUAAUAUUAAAACUGGAUUUGCUUCUUACAGAAUGAGAAGACAGUUUGGGCCACAGUCAGAAUUUGAUCAAGACUUGGGAAUUUUGAGGUUCAGACUUGUGGGCUAAAUGCAUCUCUACCCAGAAUAAGAUUACUGUCUGUGAUGAACUGAAACAUCCCUGUUCAUCACUCAUCAUCCUGUGGAGUUCUAGCCUGAAAACUUAUGUCACGCUCAAGAUUAACAAGGGAUUAAGAGUGAGCAAUGGAUUUUCCAGAAUAAUUCAAGUUUUGCUGUUUGCUCAGUCUUACAUCAAAAGUCUAUGACAGAAUUAAGAGUUAUUUCUCUACAGUAACACAGUCCAUGAUGAAAGAACUGAACCGAUUUUCUGAAGACCUGGGAUAAAUUCCUAACUCUUUCACAACUCCUGCAUCUUCUGAGGGAGGUGAUUUAAGUUUCUAGUACAGUUCUCUAUCUGCAGAGAAACUGAUCUUAUUGUUCUCCCCCGUAACCUUUGUUUUGCUAAUUAAAACUGCUGAGUAUGUAUUUUUAGGAUCAUGCUCUUUUUGCUGGUGUGUUAUUAACACCAAGGUUGUGCCCUCAUUCAGUGUCACACUCCUGGUAUUCCCAGGAAGUGAAAAAGAUUAUCCCCUCAGGAAAGCUGAGGAAAGGGAAGGGCAAGUAAUCAAUAGGAGUUAGAAGGAAAGGUAAUCAAAAGACCUAGGUAUAUCCUUUUCCAGUUUCUUGCUUUAUGUAAAUCUCAGGUGAUCUCUAGACACAGGCAGAAAUCAGGUAUUCAUUUUGGAGGUCAGAUUACAGGCAGAUAGCCUUUUGAUCCUUUCUUUCUCUAAUAAGAAUGGCUUGCUUCUUAUAACAGAGAUAGCAAAAGUUAAUUUUACCUGUGCUGCUAAUCCCUUGAUCUAGUUCUGCUUACCUUGUUUGUUUAAGAACUGUUACCCUUCUCAGAAAUCUAUAAAUUCCCUGUGGGCACAUAUUUCCUGCAAGACAAAAGUUAAGUGGUUAUUACCUUUUCACAUUUGCUUCUGGGACAGAAUUGCUUAUUUCAGUGUUUGGAAUAUUAGAAGUAUUUUGUGAAUCCUUUUGGUGUAAUAGUUUCUUAUCUAAGUCUUGGUACUACAGGAAUAAAUGCUUCUGCCAUGUCGAAUUCUAAGGAGUUCAAAGUGGAACAAAACUGAGAAAAAAGGAAAGGGAAAAUCGAUCAGUGUUGGAAGAACUACUUAUAUCUUCUGUGCUAUCCUCCAAAACUGAAAUGAAGUUCCUGUCUAUUCAGUUCUAGUGAGAGGUUUGUCCUUUGAUUCCAUAGGUCCAAGAGAUCAUGCUCUGUUUAUUCAGUUUCAGCCUCCUUGUGCAAGACUACUAGGAGCCAACUGUGGAAACAAAUCUCUCAGCUGCUGGAGCUAUCAAGUAAUCAAGAUAUUACUCAAGAGGCUAAAGCUCUUUUGACUUUCAACCUGGGGUCUGUGAGGUUGAUGUGAAGGGAUGCUUGCUCCACCUGUGGCUAAUUAACAAAGCCAAAGUGAAACAGAGCCCAAGAACUGUAAUAAUUAAUUUCCAUUUUGAAAUGAUGGGCUAUAACAUCUCUUCACCUCACGGACCCCCAUGCUCCCACACCCUGUAUAGAGGAAGAGAAAAAAUAAAAGAAGAGGAACAGCAGGCAAUAACUUUGUUGGGGAGCACAUCCCCUUUGUUUUAUACGGUACAAAUUACUAACAUGUUGCUGGAGGUCUAAAUCACUAGAGCAUAUGUGAAAAGUGGUAAGAGGAGACAUUUGAAAUGAAAAAAAUGUAUGCAUUCUGCCUCAAACCUUGAGAGCUGUUUGUUUCUAUGACUUCCUUACAAGCUACUCUUGGGUGGUUCCUGAGACAACCAUGUACUGAAGAUUCUCUUUGAAAUCUAGAUGUGGUUUAGACAUACCCUGCAGGCAGAAAAAUAUGUACCAUGUUGCUAUAACACACUAUGUAUAUUGCUGUAACAUGCUAUACAUGUUGCUAUAACAUUUAAGGAGUAAUGUAAUGAGAAAUAAAGGAAAAUAUUUUUAUAUUACUGUUUAUUACAUUUCAUCUAUUGUUUGUUAGCUGGCUUUAUAGAAGCUAAUACUUAUUCAGUUUUUACAAACAAUUCAAAUAUUGGGAAACAGUUGACAACAAAGUUCAAGAUCAAUGUACGAUAUGUGCUUACACAGUAGAUAGAAUAAUAUGGAUUGUAAAACUACGUAUAGAUUGCCUUUGUCCACAUGUAUACAUAGAUACCAUUGUAUAUGAAAACAUGUCAGCGAGUUUUGUUCAGUGUGAUUCUGGUUUGUGGACUUACUGAAGAUAUUACAAAAUUGGAAAUGAUGACUUAGAAGACACAAAUUUCAUUCUCUCUAAAAUGGUAAAAUAAAGAAGGAAAGUUAUGUGAAUCUGUACCAAGAACAUUGAACUAUGGACUAAACAAAUUAUGAUGGGUAUCUAGGAGAAUUUCCCAAGUGUAUCUUAUCACUUUCUCACAGCUAUACUGAUUACCAUCAAUUUGUCUGAAUUAUUUACCUUUUAAAAGGAUUUUCACUGCAGCUCAUCUAGUCCCCUUCCCUUCUAUUCCCUUUACUUAGUGCUCACAUGAUGCAGCAGGAACCAUUUCAUGGAAUCUUUGAACUUGAGCUAAUGGAAUAUGACCUUGAAAAAAUGCAACUUGUUUAUUUCCAGCACUGAAAUAUCCUAGAAAUUUAUUUUGAUUGUUACUGAAUAUAGCACAAAGUGUCUGCAUUUUGGUUUUGCUCCUCAUUGUGCAUCAUGAUAUCCACGAGAACCUGUGGCUGAUGUGAAUUACAUACACAUUUACAUACUAUAAAUGGAGAAUGGCUUUCAGUGUGCGCUGUUUAAUAAAAAGGAAUAUAUGUGAACAUAUACCAUAGAGAAGCAGAUAAAUACAAACCAAAAUAUUGUUCUCUAUUUCUUCUUUAGAUAAUAACUCUCAGUAAAAAUAUUGAAGGAUCAUUUAACUCUGUCUCUACAACAUCUAGCUUGACCUUGAUAACAAUGCAGUUUUCUAGAAUAAGCAAGUGUAGCACGUAUUCAGGACUGCUGAGCUUUGAGCAAUGUAUUGUAGGAAUUUGGCACUCUCAUUUAGCUCUGUUCUCAGAUUUGCCAAAUUAAGAAAGAUAGUUUCUUUUCUUACAGUGUGUACAUUUGGAAUGUCUUUGGAAAACUAUAUAGAGAAAAGCUGUAUCUUUGUAUGGGUAGUACUUAAAGGAUUGUGAAGUUUUAUGCUUAUAUACAUUGAUUCAACAAGAAACUGGUUGCGCAUACCAUGACGUUCUGAAGUGGCAGAGUGUCUCUGUGACAAAUGGGAACUACACUUUCAGUAGAAAGCAUUCUUUUGAAUCAUAAUUAGUUUAGCUUGAUCAGUUCAGAAGUCUUUUUACGCUACAGAUGCAUAUUAAUAAAAAAGUCUAGUAAAAUUUAACUGUGUCUGGUGAAAUAAAAUUCUACAGAUCCGAAUGCAGUCAUGGUUAAAGUAUAAUUUGUUCUCUGCUUUUGUUUUAAUUAGGUAAGUGAAAAUUUCUAAUUGUAAUUAGUGGUUGAAAGUGAAAUAUUUGGUAACAUCAGGCAGGUCCUUCUUGCUUUGUUUCUCUCUGACAUAACCUGAAAUUAUGACAGGGGUCGAUGUGAAGUGUAGGGUGAAAUUAGGCUGCCUCAGUCCUUUGAAAAGAAAAAGAACAAAGCAUUUAGCUAAAAGAACACAAAAUUGUCAUCAAAAUAUUAAAAAAAACCAAUCAAAAUCACAUAUAGAUGGGUUCUCUUCAAUACUUCUUCGUAGAAAAAAUGGUAAACUUCAAAUGCUUUACGGCUGUUUAUAUGUUGCUGUAAAAGAGAACAAAGAUGUACUUGCAAAGAGAAUUUGCAAAUGAUAAAGAAUAGUGUUUGCAAGCCUUUUUUUUUUUUUUUUUUCCCAGAAGGAAUGAGUCUGUUGAAAGUUUUGAAAGGUCCUAAGUUGAUAAGUUUGAGCAACAUGAGGUUUAUAUUAAAAUUGUUUUUAUUCUUAAGUUUUGUUCUUCUUACAAGGCCUGGAAAUGGGACAUCACUGCACUUCACCGAGGCUUAUCCACUCACUAUCACAGCUGUAAACUGUGUGGUUUUUUUGCUGCUGAAUUGGCUAUGGCUGGACUGAACUGGAAUUUGAUGUUUUCCACGAGACAUAGUAUGGCAGCAGAAUGUAAGCUUUCAUUGCACAACAGUAAACUUUGUGGGAGAAACCUUUUACACUCCAUCAGGAUAUUAUGACUGCUUCCUAUUCUAGACAUUCAAAACAGACACUACUACGCUCUCUUGAGACCCCACCAGGAGUAUUACUUUAAGCUCUGGGUCCCCCAGCACAAGAAGGACAUGGACUUGAUGCAGAUUCCAGAUGAAGCCACAAGGAUGAUCAGGGGACUGGAACAGUGAAGAAAAGCUGAGAGAGCUGGGCUUGUUCGGCCUAGAGAAGAGAAGACUCUGGAGAGUCUUAUAGAUUGUCUAUACAAAAAAAGAAAAUUGAUCACCUGCUGAACAUAGUCUUCUCCCCUUUUUAGUUUCUCCCACGUUCUCUGGAGAAGUUUGCUAACUAACCAUUUGACAUGAUGAUAUUUUUUCAUCAUAUUUCUAAAAAGACAAUAAUAAAUACUGGUCAUUCA